rnacentral:tRNA from 1 species
UGGCUCAGACGGUAAAGCGUCUGCCUACAGUGCAGGAGACCCGGGUUCGAUCCCUGG